AUUGAGCCACCCCAUGAACGUGGAGGGUGGCAUCAUGAGAGCAGAACAUUGACUCUUUUUUUUUUUUUUUUUUAGAACAUUGACUCUUAUCAGGGACCCUCAAGGUCUACCAUAGGUCUACCCUCAAGGUCAUCUACCGUAGCGGUCACACUUGGAGGGAGAGCUUCAGGUGUACUUGCUGGGAGCCAGUGUGGAAGGUCGCAGGAGAAGACCCUUGUCAUAGCAAGACAACCUGCUGUGAAAGUUGGAGAGCACCAAGACUGCAGCCUGGAGACCAGUUCCAUCCAGUAACAAUCCGCCCUCUGAGGACUAUAGGCUCCCUCAUUGAAGAUCCUGGGUCCAGCCGAAGAACACCGUGUCGGAGGACAAAGUUCAGUUCUCCUCCGAGAGCCCUGCACCUGUGUCCCUCCUGCCAGCACCUGGGGCCCAGGACUGACUCACCGAGUCAACAUCUCUCCCAUCUGCUUGGUGGAUUCCCAAACCCUGACACCGUGUGAAGCCCUUGGAAGACUGGUGGUUUAUUUUACUAAAAAUAAGCUGGAUAUUGAAGCAGCAAGUUGAAACACAAAGCAACGGGGUCAUUGUUUAUUUUGGGAGAAAUAUAAAAAUUCUGUUAAUGCCGUGUGAUUGGUGAUCAGCACCAGAAGGACCAGUGAGGGGCCCUUAGUAAACCCGGCCGCCGGAAGGACCGCGCAGAGGUAUCGUAAACCCUGCCGGGGGUUAUCU
rnacentral:lncRNA from 1 species